CAGGAUUAGAUACCCUGGUAGUCCACACCGUAAACGGUGAAUGCCAGACGUCAGCAAGCAUGCUUGUUGGUGUCACACCUAACGGAUUAAGCAUUCCGCCUGGGGAGUACGGUCGCAAGAUUAAAACUCAAAGGAAUAGACGGGGACCCGCACAAGCGGUGGAGCAUGUGGUUUAAUUCGACGAUACGCGAAGAACCUUACCUGGCCUUGACAUAGAUAGAACUUACUAGAGAUAGUUUGGUGCUAGUUUACUAGAGCUAUCAUACAGGUGCUGCACGGCUGUCGUCAGCUCGUGUCGUGAGAUGUUGGGUUAAGUCCCGCAACGAGCGCAACCCUCGUCUUUAGUUACUAACAGUUCGGUUGAGGACUCUAGACAGACUGCCUGGGUAACCAGGAGGAAGGUGUGGACGACGUCAAGUCAUCAUGGCCCUUACGGGUUGGGCUACACACGUGCUACAAUGGCAUCUACAGUGAGUUAAUCUCCAAAAGAUGUCUCAGUUCGGAUUGGGGUCUGCAACUCGACCCCAUGAAGUUGGAAUCGCUAGUAAUCGCGGAACAGCAUGCCGCGGUGAAUACGUUCCCGGGCCUUGUACACACCGCCCGUCACACCAUGGGAAUUGGGUCUACCCGAAGGUGGUGCGCCAACUAUUUAUAGGGGCAGCCAACCACGGUAGGUUCAGUGACUGGGGUGAAGUCGUAACAAGGUAACC
rnacentral:rRNA from 1 species